UCCAUUUCAGACCCCAGAGCUGUGUCUUUUGUGAGCCCUAUAAGGAGGAAGAAUGGAGAAACUCCUGGGAGUGUCUUUGGUGAUUCUAUGGCUUCAACUGGCCAGGGUGAACAGCCAAGUAGAACAGAAUCCUGAGACUCUGCCUAUCCAGGAAGGUGAAAAUGCCACCAAGAGCUGCAGUUAUAAAACUAGUAUAGACAGCUUACAGUGGUAUAGACAAGAUUCAGGUAGAGGCUUUGUCCUACUAAUUUUAAUACGUUCAAAUGAGAAGGAGACAUCUGCUGGAAGACUAAGAGCCACACUAGAUAUCAACAGCAAAAGGAGUUUCCUGUUCAUCACCACUUCCCAAGCUGCAGACACUGCUGCUUACUUCUGCGCGAUAGAUACACAGUGUUUACCAGGCACCUGCAGCUCUUACACAAACCUGCCAGAGCUGCCACUUACUUAGAUGCCCUAACAGUGG